UCCCAUCAGGACAGGCUCAGAUCAAACUUCUACAAAGCUCCCCUCCACCAUGGGCUGGGUACCAUUCUACCUCCUGCCCUUUAUUUUCUCUACAGGUUUCUGUGCUGCACCUGUGCUGACUCAGCCUCCAUCUGCAUCUGCCUCCCUGGGAGCCUCUGUCAAGCUCACCUGCACCCUGAGCAGGGAGCACAGCAAUUACUAUAUUCACUGGUAUCAACAGGAACCAGAGAAGGCCCCUCGGUAUUUGAUGAAGGUUAAUAGUGACGGAAGCCACAACAAGGGGGACGGGAUCUCCAGUCGCUUCUCAGGAUCCAGCACUGGGGUUGACCGUUACUUAACCAUCUCCAACAUCCAGCCUGAGGAUGAGACUGAAUAUUACUGUGGUGCAGACUAUAACAUCGAUGGUCAAAUACAGUAUGUGUUCGGCGGCGGGACCCAGCUGACCGUCCUCGGUCAGCCCACGUCCGCACCCUCGGUCACGCUCUUCCCGCCCUCCUCUGAGGAACUCGCCGCCAGCAAGGCCACCCUGGUGUGCCUCAUCAGUGACUUCUACCCCAGCGGCGUGACGGUGGCCUGGAAGGCAGACGGCAGCACCGUCACCCAGGGCGUGGAGACCACCAAGCCCUCCAAACAGAGCAACAACAAGUACGCGGCCAGCAGCUACCUGAGCCUGUCGCCUGACAAGUGGCAAUCUCACAGCAGCUUCAGCUGCCUGGUCACGCACGAGGGCAAAACCGUGGAGAAGAAGGUGGUCCCCUCACAGUGCUCUUAGGUCUCCGACACCCUCCCCCACCCAGCGGGGCCUGGAGACACAGGACCUCCAGGACGAUCUUCCCUUCCCCCAGGGUCAUCCCAGCCCUUCUCCCUUCACCCCAUCAACACUCAAUAAAGUGUCCUUUAUUCAAUCAGAAA